AGUUAUCUACGUUAAAGAGCAACUUGGAAGGCAAGCCAAUAUACCAGUAUUUCGAAAGACCAGUUCUCUCACUACAAAUAGUUCUUCCCAAGCUGUUCAGACAAGCCUACCAUCACUGAUCCCAAUGGAACCUAAAAAGAUCCAACGAAAAAGUCAGCAUGAGUACCACCACUCUACCGACAAUGAAAUGAUGCAAGUUCAAAAGCAUGAGAGCGAUAACGUCAAAGACAAAAAAAUAAAUUUGGGUACCAAACGGGAAAAAACUCCAAAUGCAAUGGAUAACGAAGACUUGAAAGAAAAUCAAGACUUCCUUGGAUCAUCGAAGAGACAGAGAAUAUAAGCUAUUUGUUAACAGGGACAAACGACAGUGUGAGGACAAUCUUUUGAACAGAAGUGCCUUCUAAUGGUGUUCUGUUAAAUAUAUAGUGCUUCCUUCUGAUGGUUCUAAUAAAUAGAACCAUCCUUUUGAAAUAUUUCAGACCUUUCUAUAUUGCAAGGCCGAAAUAUGUACUUUUGACUAGAUUAUGCAGACUAAUACAACU